rnacentral:rRNA from 1 species
CCUACGGGAGGCAGCAGUGGGGAAUCUUCCGCAAUGGGCGAAAGCCUGACGGAGCAACGCCGCGUGAUAGAAUGAAGGCCUACGGGUUGUAAAGAUCUGUUGACAGGGACGAAGAAGCAAUGCGAAUAGAUUUGUGUAUGACGGUAGCUGGUAAGAAAGCGCCGGCUAACUACGAGCCAGCAGCCGCGGUAAGACGUAGGGAGCAAGCGUUGGCCGGAAUUACUGGGCUUAAAGGGCGCGUAGGUGGGCGCUUAAGUCAGGUGUGAAAACUCCGGGCUCAACCUUGAGACUGCACUUGAAACUGGGUGUCUUGAGGGCAUGAGAGGAAAGUGGAAUUCCUAUUGUAGCGGU